rnacentral:misc_RNA from 1 species
GAUGAAGAACGUAGCGAAAUGCGAUAAGUAAUGUGAAUUGCAGAAUUCAGUGAAUCAUCGAAUCUUUGAACGCACAUUGCGCCCGCUAGUAUUCUGGCGGGCAUGCCUGUUCGAGCGUCAUUUCAACCAUCAAGCCCCCGGCUUGCGUUGGGGGCCUGCGGCUGCCGCAGCCCCUGAAAAGCAGUGGCGGGCUCGCUGUCAUUCCGAGCGUAGUAGUUACAUCUCGCUCCGGGCGUGGCGGUGGGCACCUGCCGUGAAACACUCUAUCUAAGGUUGACCUCGGAUCAGGUAGGAAUACCCGCUGAACUUAAGCAUAUCAAUAAGCGGAGGA